CCCCCGGUUAAUUGUAAGGUUUUUUCUCAGCCAUGCUUUUCAGUCACAUUCGCAGGCUGCGAGAGGAGCCGCUCCUGCGCUGGCUGGGUUUGAAUGUGUUGUGCUCGCUGGCAGGCAGGCUGGCUGGAGGGGAUGAGGCUGCUUUCGGCGGGGGCCUGAGGACAGGAUGGGGAGACAGCUAGAGGAGCAGCAUUUGGCCAGGGAGUCGAAGCUCCAGUGACCCCAGGAAAGACUUGUCCAGUAGGGCAUGUCUGACUCUGCCCGCUGCCCGGGCACUGAGAUGUGGGGGUGACGCGCCAGGGCAGAGCAGCCCCACCCCACCCGGUGCAGGGGCACGGGGCGGGAUCUGUGAGCACUGCUGUUCCCAGCCUCUCCGCGAUCGGUCCCCGGGAAUCCUGCCCCGAGGACGCAGCGCUGCCUGUGGUGCGGGGCUCCCUGCCUGGCCAGGUAAGAGGCUUGUGCUACUUUGUGGAUAAUGCCCGCUGCUUCUCCACUCCGGCUCCUCCAUCCCGGCCAAGAGGAGUCUAGUGCCACUUGCUGCUCCGUGCAGCUGCCAGGGCUCAGGCCUCCGAAGGGUUAAGAGCCUCAGUCCCUGCUCCAAGGGUUUGGGUGAGAAUUAGUCUGCAGAGGUACAUGUCCAGCAGAUCAGCUGCUGCUGCUUCUCCGAGGCUGCUGCUGCAGUUCGGUGUGUGUGAAAAGCCGCUCUGCUUGCAGAAGAUGCUCGCUUGGUGUGUCCGGAGUCCUGUGCAUGGCAGCGGAGCCCUGGCUGUCGCUGGCUGAGGGGAUUACCGUCACCUGCCCGCUCCAGCUUCUUAGCAAGGGAAAGGAGGGAUCCGGACUAAUGCUUUUAGCAAACAAAUCAUGCUGUCACUGCAACACGCUCCUCUUCGGAAUGUCACCCUGGCGGUAUUUUAAUUCAUCCCGUCGUAUGGAAUCCCGCUGCGACCCGCGCACAGACCAAGAGUGCCACCGAAGAGAUGCUGCUGAAGGCCCAAUCCGAGAGCGCUGGUGCUAGAGCGGGGCUGUUUUCUGGAGAGUCCCACAGACUGCCACAUAGUUAUAGGCUUGUAGAAAAUGUGUAUUGAAGAAUAUCAGGGGACUCCUUCAGCCUGCUCUGGGAAUUCUACAGACGACUUAACAUGGAAGUAAAUUCACCUGUGACUGAUGCGAGAAACGGCCUUCAGGGAAGGAGCUAUAGCUUGAUGAUUUUAUUUUAAAGAAGACCCCUGAACACGUGAACCCUUCUGUUUUAAAUAUACAUGAAGAACAGUUGACUGUUUUUUUAAUUGAAACAAAUUUUAGAAAGAGAGACUCCCAUGUCAGCUUUCCCAGUGACGUCCUACGGCUGAGCUACUCCAACCUGACGGGGCAGAGUUGUCUUAUCUUCAGAAUUCACUAUGUGGCCCUGAAGGGGAGUUUAAAAUGUCUGAUAAUGUCUCCAUCAGCUGCCUAGUUUUCCAUGCUUUUCUCCCUUUUUAACAGGCCUCCAGUGUCAAACUGAUCCUGUCUCCUUGAUGGAUUAACCGGGGCUGGAGCCAAUCCAUGACCUUGCAUGUCUACUAAUACUGCAGUUGGUUGGAACAUAGGGGUGAAAUCCUGCCCCAGUGAAGUCAAUGGGAAUUUUGCCAUUGAUGUCAAUGGGGCCCAGAUAGAACUCACGAUAUUUAGACAGUGCCUGUGCUCUAAUGAUCAUUCAUUGAGCUAUGGUUUCCAAGUAUCCUCAACCCAUACCCUAAAAUUGCCCAGCAAAUGC
rnacentral:lncRNA from 1 species